AAGAAAACUCCAGUACCAGAUGUGAAACCUCCUCUCUGCUGCAGCCUGUUGUGCUGGCUCUGCAUUGGGCUCUCCAUGGUGUUCAAAGGGAAGCAACCAGUUCUUGCUCCAUGGACUGUGUUCUAACUGCAAUGCAAGGCUCCCACCAACACCUUCUCACUCUUAAAGUCCUCCAAAAUUCCGUAUCUUUUUUUCAGAUAGAGGUCUAAUUUUAUGUCUGGAAAAUUAUCCACUGGAACAAUGAAAAGACUUCAGUAUCAGAGAUGGCAGAGGUGAACAGCACAGGAGACAUUAAAUGGUCUAGGAAGAUUCUUAUUGUUUACAUAUGUAGCAGCGUAUCUAACCUGAAUACAUCAGAGUCCUCCCCUCAUUCACUUGAUUGACUUUCCUGACCUGUGUGCUUGUACAACCACAGAUAAACAACAGCUGUCCAAGCUGGAAAGAAAAAAAACUGGAAGAGUGAAGGAAAGGCUGAUGAACUGCAGCUUCUUACAAAAUUGGCCACCUGGUGGUUUAUCAGAAUUCAGUCCCCCACCAGCAGAGCAUGUGUGUGGUUUGGAUAUAAGAAUGAAACAAUUCACAUGGUGGAGCCCAAGCUCAGAGAGCCAGAAGAUGCAGCAGAGCCCUUACAGCCUGGCUAUGUGGGACCUCUCUCUGGGACAGGGAGACCCUAGAUGAGCACCCAGCUCCCAAGCUUCUGUUGGAGACCAACCCUGCAUCAGAUUACCACUCUGCUUCAUGGUAUCCCAAUGAAAUUUUUUGUUAGUGUGCCCUGUAAGCACUGAGCUCACCAUCUCCCACUGGAGCUGCUUGUGCCUGGCAGCGCAUCAGGUAAUACUAGCUUUGGACCCACAGAGACUGCAACAAAACAGAGCCAUUCCAUGACCAGUGCUUAUCAAGUGUAAUACUUUGCAUGGUCCUGCUGUCCAUCUGAAUAAUAUCUAGUAAGAUACACUGAG
ensembl:lncRNA